AUCUUCACUUACCAAGAGGGCCAUCUCUCUCUCUCUCUCUCUCUCUCUCUCUCUCUCUCUCACACACACACACACACACACUCUGAGUAAAAAGAUGCUGAUUUCUUUUUGGCGAAGAAGGUAAGUCUUGCUGAGUUGCUGUGGUUGCCUUGUUUGAUCUGAAGGUGGCUCUGUUGGAGUGGGCACCUCUAUCUCAUCAUGGAAGGAAAGGUGGGUUCAUGAUGGGAUAUCAAGGCAGCCUUUUUCUUCUUCCACACAAUACCAUGCUGCUCCUUUUCUUCUUGGGUUAAUGGUAUUCCUUUUUAUCUUGUGGUUAUCCCUUUCUGGUAAAUUUUCUCAUCUGCAGUCAUGCAAGGUUAAAAGAGGCAGCCAAAAAUAGUCAAUACUUGCACUGGUGCCACCCUUCUCUCAGAAAUGAAGGAAAUCCUCUGACAUAGAUUCCCUUGCAUGCCCCAGGCUUUUCAAGGGUAAGGAAUCACUUGAUAUCGUCUUGUUCUGAGAUGGUAAAUCUUAGGUUGGAAGCACACUGCUUGAAUCCCUUCUUUUUUUCCUCUGACCUGUAAACAACACAAAAUAGAUGUCCAAUUAUCUCACACAUUCAUUACCAAGUGGAACUUAAGCUGCAUGGAUUUUUAGUUUGUGAGAUCUCUUUAGAAGCUGUUGUUUGGUUGGCUCUUCAUAGAACAUUUACAAAACUGAAGCUAAUUUCACAGUCCAGAAAAAACACUUAAUGGUUCAGUUGAGUCAUGACAGAAUGGUAAUGAGUUGGCUGUGCAUGAUGAGCUUUGAACAACCCAAUCAUAAUUUAUGCCACUCUUAAUCAAUCUUAGACAUUUGUUCAGGAGAUGAUGUUUUGGUUUGAAGAUUUCCUACAUGCAUGUUGAUCUACUGAAACUUAGUCAUCUGAUCUCUAUAAAUGAAGAUUAUAAACAUGAUGCAUAGUAUUGUAAAUGAAGAUCACAAAUAUUGAUUACUGUUAUCCUUUUUAUAGCAUAUUAGAAGAAACACAACUUAAUUAGUAGGGGGGAAAUGUCAUCUUGCAGCAGUUUCAGAUCUGUUUUCAGCAGAAUCUCCACCCCCAAUCCAAACACCAUCUGUUUAUACUCCUCUGGCAAUUAUACAACAUUUUAUAUCUCACUAUGUUGAACUGGUUUAAUUGAGCAUAUAUCACAGAGAGAGAGAGAGAGAGAGAGAGAGUAAUUAUGGGUAUAUCAAGUCAUGACAAAUUUUUAGGCAAUAAAUCUAGGUUCCUUGAACUCCAAUUGACAGUGUAUAAUAAUAACUCAAGACUAAAUCCUUGUAUCUAAGAUUAUAUAUGGAAAAAUGCAUCUUGUAAAGGUAUCAAUGAACAAACAUUAAUGAGAAGAAAAAGAUCCUUCCAAUGGUUCCUUGCGAUACAAUGAGGAUGAUAAAGAUGGAUCAUGUGCUUUGAUCCCCAUAGAAUGAAUGAUUGAACAUUCAAGGAGCUUACAGAUUUUUCUUCCCUCUGGAUUGAGAGGAACACCUUUGUGGUAAUUCACUGAUCAACAAAACAUCACUUUUGAGAUGGUUUUAGAGAUCCAAGUUAAAACACUUAAGCAGUUUAUCGUCUUGGAUGUGUGUUUGUGAUGACAAGAACACAUUUCCGGAUUGCCUUUGAGUACCAACCAAAAAUUUAGUAUGUACUAACCAGUAAAAUUCCAUGUGACAUUUAAUUGGCAUAUGCAGUGCCUGCUCAUGGAUUCCUGAUCUUUAUUCAACCAAGAACAGAUGGAAAUGGUGAGCAUGGCGUUCAAUCCAAAAUAGUUUGAGAGCAAACUUUAGGAAAGAAAGCUCCAACCUUUUGCACUCUUUAUGGAGUCAAAAGGUUCAAAUCUCCCAAUACAUUCACAGAGAUGCAUCACCAUGAUUACUGCUUCAAGGUUCAGAAGCGAGUUCAUCAUCAUAGCAUGGAGUUGCAGGUGGAGGUGAAUGCAGCAUGGAGCUGAUAUUGGCUGGGUGUGUGGGAGCAGAUGGCAGAGAGCAGAGUUGGGGAAGCAGCAUGUGAAGUGUGGAGCCAGCGGCCAUGAGAAGCCAAAGCCUUGUGCCGGCAACCAUUAGCUGGUGGCGUGGUCAGCCAUCAUCCAUUGUUAUUUCAUGCGGACUACACAACAAAGUGUAACUUCAUAUCUCCGAGACAUUCCAAUUGAUCUCAACUUCAAGUCUCCGAGACAAUUCGAAUCGAUCAGUCUAUUAUAUUAUAUUAAGUGAUUGAUCUCAA